AUUGAACGCUGGCGGCAGGCUUAACACAUGCAAGUCGAGCGAGCGGCGGACGGGUGAGUAAUGUCUGGGAAACUGCCUGAUGGAGGGGGAUAACUACUGGAAACGGUAGCUAAUACCGCAUACCAUCAGAUGUGCCCAUAGGGGAUUGGCUAGUAGGUGGGGUAAUGGCGCACCUAGGCGACGAUCCCUAGCUGGUUUGAGAGGAUGACCAGCCACAAUGGAACUGAGACACGGUCCAGACUCCUACGGGAGGCAGCAGUGGGGAAUAUUGCACAAUGGGCGCAAGCCUGAGGAAGCCAUGCCGCGUGUGUGAAGAAGGCCUUCGGGUUGUAAAGUACUUUCAGCGAGGAGGCGUUACUCGCAGAAGAAGCACCGGCUAACUCCGUGCCAGCAGCCGCGGUAAUAC
rnacentral:rRNA from 1 species